GAGAAUAAUACUAUCAAACUUCAAACAAAAUUACAAACUCCUUCAUUCUCAACAUUCUCUCUUCAAAUUAAACCUUCUUCUUCAUCACCUUCCUCAUCAACCUUUCCCUCAUCCUUACCUUCCUUCUCUCCCAAACAUGUGCUUCUAAUAAUAUAUAAUUUAUAUCUAUUGCAAAACUCGAGUCAAUUGAUUGCUAUAAUCCAUAUACUUUCAAAAUGACUCUAUUCGUUAACGAUCAUCAUGCUAAGCAGCUACCUCAGCCUUCAACUUACAAAGGACGUCAUUGUAUAAUCAUCGUCUAGGAGGAUGAUGGAUCAAAAAGACCAAAAUCAAGUAAAAGGAGAAGAAAUGGCAGUUUAACAAAAUGAGAAUGCAUGAUCUCACACAAUGCAUUUUCUUUUGAUUUUAUUGCUAUAUAUGCUUCUCUUUUAAUAUAUAAUAUAUAUGCUCAUCAUGGAAAAAACAAAUCCAACGUUGGUUGUACUUGGAGGAGUUCCCCUUCACCAUACUUCAGAAGAAUUUCUUCUUUUCUUUUACAGUGCACAUUUGCAUGGGAAGUUUUAUAAGACAAAGUUAUAAUGAAUCUUAGGGUUUCCACUUGAUGUUAAAGUUUGGCCAUGCAGUCAUAGUUCGUGUUAUAUUAUUAUUUCAAAUGUUGCUUCAUUUGGGUUAUUAUUAGUUUAUUGUACAAUGUUGAUCUUGUUAAUUUUUUUAAGGAUUAUUUAUUUUGUGGUACAAGAAUAGAGAAUAUGAAUUGCCCUUUUUUUA